GGGGGCUGAAGCGCGAGGAGGCCAGAGGUCAGCCCUCCGAUGGCCACUUAAAGUCAAACGCAGAGAUGGUGACACUUCAGCGUACGUCCCCCAGGAACUAAGACAUUCUCCUGCGUCGCUGCUGUCUUAGUUUGUGCUGCUGUAACAGAAAACCCUAGACUCAGCGGUUUAGAACCAACGGAAAUUUAUUUCUCAGAGUUCUGGAGGCCGGAAGCCCGAGGUCAGAGUGCCAGCAGGUCCCCAGUCCAGGUUAUGUCCCCCUCACUAUCAGAGUCAGAGGAAAAACUGUUGCCAAGAGAACUCUAGAGGGAGGCUGUGACCUCCACCCUCCGCGGGGUCAGGAGGCUGCCACUGUGGAGCUGUCCCUGCAUGAGCGACGCUCACUUUGAAUGUGGUGGUGGCCUCCAGAGCGCCUCUUCUCUUUGUAAUUCACACGUAUUCCCGGGGAGGGCGGGGCUGCGUCUCUGACUCUUGAGGACUGCAUUCUUGCACAACAAACUUACAUCCAGCGAGAGCUUUCUGCGUCCAGCGCGGAUUCUUGCCUGACUCAAGCAUUGCAUCAGCUGGUGCAUAAUGCUUUUUUCUAAUUCUAUCAAACAUGAGUAUCAACACUGUGUAGUACUAUCAAGAGAAAAAAAAACAGGAGUCAGCCAGUCCCCUCGUCUGUGUGAUGUACGUACGGCCAGCUUAUUUACUCGGGAGGACAGAGGGAAAAAAAUAACAGGAAACCAACCCACAUCAAACAAUGAAGAUGAAUAUCAAUAUUUGUUCCUUUCCGGAUAAGAGGAGUUAUGCACAGUAUUACGUCAUCAUAGCAGCACUUGAAAGAAUCGAAGUUGCUUUGAGCUUGAAGAAUUUCCAGUACAGCAAUUUGGCUGUUGUCAUCUAAAUGAAGUAAAGUUAAAAUAUAGCCUUUUAACAGAAGUAAGUAGAUAUUAUUCGAAGUAUCCAUGGUCGCCAUCUGGAAGCUGUGCUUGUUAUCAAACUUGAGAUCCAGGAACCUGGUCCGAUGCUGCCAGCAGAUGUUGCCAAAUUGCCGUCUAUACAGGAUGAACCACCUUACACUCCUACUGGUAAAAAUUUGUGAAAAUAAAUGAAGACCACCCAGACGAGGACACACAAAGGCUCUUUAUUCAAAGCUGGCUACAGCGAGGGUGUCAGUGCCGUCACAGGCUGCGCAGAGACUCGAAGGCGGCAGAGAUGGGACAGGCGUCAGGCACCGCCUGCUAGGAGGGCGCUGGCUGGGAAGCUGGAGGUGGCAGUGGUUCAUGCUUUCUGAUUGCUCUGUAGCAUCCUGUUGAAUGACUAUGCCACAAAACAGGGAAGGGCUGGAGUCUGCCCCACAUUGCUAACGCCAUUUCCUCACCUGUUGUGCAUCCUUCAGCCUCCUCCCCUAUCACAAGCAAAGAGAAUUCGCUGGCAUCAAUGCAACCAUGUUAGAAUAAAA
rnacentral:lncRNA from 1 species